rnacentral:rRNA from 1 species
UACGUAGGGUGCAAGCGUUGUCCGAAAUUAUUGGGCGUAAAGGGCUCGUAGGCGGUUUGUCGCGUCGGGAGUGAAAACUCAGGGCUUAACCCUGAGCCUGCUUCCGAUACGGGCAGACUAGAGGUAUGCAGGGGAGAAUGGAAUUCCUGGUGUAGCGGUGAAAUGCGCAGAUAUCAGGAGGAACACCGGUGGCGAAGGCGGUUCUCUGGGCAUUACCUGACGCUGAGGAGCGAAAGUGUGGGGAGCGAACAGG